rnacentral:misc_RNA from 1 species
GGAAUAAUAACAUGCAUUCUAGUAAUAAGAAAAUUUAAAUAUCAAUAUUACCUACACUUUGGUCCACAUAAAUCCAAGAAUGAUUUUUACAUAAGCCUAAAUAAAUAAAUAAAACAAACAAUUUUUUUUCCCAAGUUUCCAACUGAGGAUAUUUUAUAAAUUCAUAUUCAUAUAUAACAUUAAUAAACUUUAUGCCUGUAACAUAAUUGGUUUGCUAAAUUCCUCAAGCUGACCAUCACCAUUAUCAUCUUAGCUAGGGCCACUAGCUUAUAGCAAAUAAUAGCACGAAAACACCACUCUCCAUGCGCACAAUUCUACAUUACUAUUCAUAUUUAAAGCAUUGACUUUUUAGGAAAGAGCUUCAACAUCUGCGAGGAGGGAAAUUUGUGCUUCAACAAUCAAUGUAUCAUCCACUAGAAAUCCCUUUGAUGCAUCAUAGAUAUCAUCAAGCGGCAUGAAGUCAGAACAUCCCCAGCAGCAAUCAACGCUUGAUUUCCUGAUAAACCAAUCGCUUCCUGUAAUCUCGUGAUGGCUUUCCUGGACCUGAUCUUUUACUGUCAGCUUAUAUUCUGCAUACACUCUUAGUUGAGGAUGAGCACUGUUGUUAAGCAAUUGUAAAAAGAGUGACAGACUAUUGCCUCUUGCCAUUGAAUCUCCUUUGGGAUAUAACAUCAACCGCCACUUAUGUUUUGCAACAGAAAAUUCCUUUGAAAAAUUGCGACCUUUUUGUAAUUUUGAGAAUCUCUCAAUCUUCCAUGUAAAAGUACCAUUAUCAGGUUCUUUUAUAAUGGAAAAUCUCUCUCCUUUACCUUCACACUUAUUAACAUGAACCUCGGUCCCGAACACGCAGUGGUCAUCAACAAGAUAUCCGUUAGAAGGAUCACUGAACAUCUUGAGUGAGAUUAGCUGGUCAAAACCAUUUUCAGUCUUCAAAUAAUGGUAACGCCUCAUUUCAUCAUCUUGGAUCGUUAAGUACUUGUCUCGAAUGUGAUCAUAAACAAAGAAUUUGAGGGUCACAUCAACUUGUGAUCCAGGAGGAAUAGCUUUUGCCUCUGCAAUGGCUAAAUAGAGAGAAAUGUGACCAUUCGCACCUCUAUUCCAAUUUCCAUGAGGAUAAAGCACCAUUUUCCAUUUGUAGCCCCCAGCUUCAAAAUCAUCAGAUUCAUAUUUCUCAAGGUCAUUGUCUCUAAGUAUCCUGCACAACUGGGAGAAUGACUCAACCUUUAACGUAUAGUGAGCAGGAGGAGCAUCUCUCUUUGAUCUUGAAAUUUCUGUAACAAAAAGAAAUAUGAUAUUACUAAUUCGUCUUAGAAAAUAUAUAGUCAGAAGAGUGAAUGAGAAUGAGAAGCAUUACCAAGUACUCGUACAUUAUGGCUAGAAGUAUCAGGAUGCAGAGUUCUAUCCUCCAUAUCUGGUCUUUGGCCAGGAAGUUUGUUGCAUGAGCUUUUAUCUUUUAUAUAACAAAGACAAGGUACCUGAUUACUGCUUGUAUGUGACCUUGGCUUAACAAUAAAACGAUUAGAUAGUGAUGAUGACGAAAAAGAAGAGGCUCAAGUGAACUCAAUGGCAGCCUCCAUACGCUGAAAAUUUAUCAAAGUUGAAGUUGCAAGUUUUGUUUCUCCCAAUUCUUUGAUUUAUCUUCACCUCUAAACCCUACAGCUAAAAUGAAAGUUAGGAAGAGUUUAAUAGAAGCUAAAGAAGGUGAGGGAUUACUUAGGAGCUCCAAUUGAUGCUGUGAUCACCUCUAGUAAUGAAGGACAACAGUGGGUGACACUCAUUUUGGUUGCUUGAUUCGCAUUUUCUUUUUUUCAGUGAGAAAAUAAGCAAUUCAACUAUGGUAUAGAAAAAGGUGGGCUAAAUAAGGGAUUUUAGAGAGAGAACAACUAAAAAUUUAGGCUAGGGAAAGGUUAAGCUGGCUGAAUUUCUUCCCUUCCCUGCUUUCUAUUUCUUUCCUUCCUUUCUCUCUAUUUCUUUCGGUCUAGAAGACUCUCUCCCUG